GGUGGUGGUUUAAUUUACGUUUAUAUGGUUGCCCCAUAAAUACCAUACGCCUCACGUGAAAUUCUUUUGAUUCUCUCUGUUUACAUCACUUUUUUUUUUUACAAUUUUGCUCGGUCCAAUUUCUUUUUUUUUUAUUUACAUUUUCAUAAAAUUUGACAACAGCUGUAUAUAAUAACUAUGAGUAGUUGAAACUUGUGAAUCAUUCUAACUUUAAACUUAUAUAGCAAACAAAUUCUGUGUAAUUAUAUAGUCAAAAUCAAUGAUAACUUUCAGUUUACAUGUUUUACAGGUUCUCUUUUAAAUGGAAUCAUUUGCUAAUUCAAUGUUUAAUA
rnacentral:lncRNA from 1 species